rnacentral:rRNA from 1 species
AUUGAACGCUGGCGGCAGGCUUAACACAUGCAAGUCGAGCGGAGAUGAGGUGCUUGCACCUUAUCUUAGCGGCGGACGGGUGAGUAAUGCUUAGGAAUCUGCCUAUUAGUGGGGGACAACAUUCCGAAAGGAAUGCUAAUACCGCAUACGCCCUACGGGGGAAAGCAGGGGAUCUUCGGACCUUGCGCUAAUAGAUGAGCCUAAGUCGGAUUAGCUAGUUGGUGGGGUAAAGGCCUACCAAGGCGACGAUCUGUAGCGGGUCUGAGAGGAUGAUCCGCCACACUGGGACUGGAACGCGGCCCAGACUCCUACGGGAGGCAGCAGUGGGGAAUAUUGGACAAUGGGCGGAAGCCUGAUCCAGCCAUGCCGCGUGUGUGAAGAAGACCUUUUGGUUGUAAAGCACUUUAAGCGAGGAGGAGGCUACCUGGAUUAAUACUCUAGGAUAGUGGACGUUACUCGCAGAAUAAGCACCGGCUAACUCUGUGCCAGCCGCCGCCGUAACAC